rnacentral:lncRNA from 1 species
GUCAGUUUUGUAAAUUUGUUGUAUGUUUGUGCUGUAUGUUUACAAUUUGAUUGUUACAAUAAACAAUUAUAUAAAUACAUGUCUGUUUGGGUUGCUCAUCCAAAAUCAAUAUAAAGGAACUAAAAACAACUGUCAUAUGAGUGUUAGGUUUAGUAACCUAUAAAACCAGGUUUAAUCCACCAUGUUUUGUACGACCACAGGAAUAUAACAGUAGUUCUUCAUUAGUUCCUAUAGUUGAUACAGUUGUUUUACAUACACUACACAUACAGUUAAUUAAAUUAAUCGAAUAGAAAUGUAAAAUAAAAACUUUUUGAUCAUACAUUGUUCAUGCCCCAGCAUUGUACCUAAAAUAAGAGAUACCAUUCACAGAUCUUUGACAUAAUCAAUUUUUAUCUCUGAUCACAAAUUUUUUUGACAGGAUCUCUCAUUUCCUUCCUGAAUAAAAUACAACCUUUUCCCGAAAAUUUUUAAAUGGAUUUUUUUUAAGAAUUGAAUGCUUUUUUUUGUAAAUUUAUUGGGAUGUAAUGUAAAAG